AGUAACUAAGUCAGAACAGCAACUCACUGUGAAAAGUGAUGUUUUGGUUACCAGGGAAACUGAUGUUUUUGAUAUGACAAAUAUGAGGAACUAAUGCUUUAUUAAAUGGAAAUGCUUUUAAGAGUUUUGAUUACUGUUAAACUAAGAGGUUUUUAACUUAGUAAUGAGGUGAGAAGUCAAGAGCUGAGGUGAACUGGGGUCAAGUGUUCACAGUAAAGGUUAUUAACCUCGAAAUAGACUUCAGGGAUUUUUGUGAGUCUGACAUCUGUUUCCUGACCGGAGGCCUGUUCUGAGCUGCAGAUGGAACAAAUACAUUAAUAGAGAAGUGAGACUGAGUGGAAGGGUCCAAACAGUCCAAACAGUUAGUUUCAGUUCCUCAAACAUGGAGGGGUCUUAGGAUGAGUUGGGGGGGAGCUGGUGGAACAGUCCAGAAUAGAUGGUUUUAGUUCCUCCAGAGCAUGCAGAGGCCACGAGGUCAGUGGAUGGAAGCAGUGCACAAGUAAGGAGGGGGAUGGAUGCUGUCAUCAUGUAUGUUAAUUAAGGGUGCAGUCAUUGCAUAUGCAAAAGGUUCAGUUGUUGUAUAAAUUGCACUGGAUCGAGACACGAGUGGGGAAUCGUUGUGAGGUGGUCACUGGAUGCAAUCCAGGGUAGAAAUGCUCUGAGCAUAGGGGAUUUUACUACGUAACUCGGAAGAGAAUUCAACACGAUCUGUAAAGGAAUAACUGUUCUAUUGGAAUUAUGGACUGAAGGAGUGCUCUUUCUGCACUGUUUGAGGAUUACAGAACGGUGAUCUAACAAUAGCACUGACUGAAGGAAUAUUACUGAACUCUACUAUUUCCAAAGGAUUAACACCAGAAUGGAUUAACAAAGUUUUUACUGGCCCAAAGAACAAAAAUGGAUCCAAGCAGAUCUAAAUCUGGACCGAACCUCCUCCACCUCCUCCCUGGAGCAGAGCCCCAGCGGGGCGUCGGUCUUCAGGUGAGCAGCCAGUUUAAGCUCCCUCUUGGCCCUGUUUGUCCAGAGAAGGGUGUGGAGGAGGAUCGGCAUGUGCUCCAUCCGUGACAGAUGGUUCAACCAGCCACUUAGUGCCAUAAGAGGAGCUUCACCAGGAGAACAUGACAUGCCGGAGGUUCCUGCAGUCGCCCCAACAAGCCAUAUGCUGCCAUAACUCAACUCUGACGAGACGCCUUCGGUCCGAGCGAAUCAACUUUGAAAACUUUCUGCCAGAAGUUCUUAGAUGUGCUCGGGCAAGUCGGUGUCUGUUUAAAGGACCCUCUGAUCUGGAUUGUUUUUAACUUUUCAAAACAACCAUCUGAUCUGUGUUCAAGUGUUUCAUCUUCUCCUAAAAUCAAGAAGUCACAGAAUUAUUGUCACUAGUAGUAGCAUUGCAGGUGCUGGUGUUUAGCAUCAUGCAUAUGAAUGUAAAAUUCUUAAAAAACACAGAAAACUAGAUGUGUAGCAGAAUGAAGCAAAAUAAGCUGCAAUGCAAAGCUUUCUUGAAAACUAGAAUGAAUUCUGGGAUGUAUUUACUGCAGGAUCAGACUUUGCUUUCAUUGAUAUUCACCACUUCUCCCUAAUUUACCUUCAGGUAUACAUUGAUGUUACCAGACAAUUUCUGAAUAAAUGUUAACAAGAGAAAAGAAGGGCUUAGUUUUAGUCAUACCUUCAGUGCAAAAGUAAAAAACAAAUCACAGUUUGCAUCAUUCACUUUAGCUCUUUGGCUUUUGAGGGUUUACAGACAAAAAUCUCAAUAAAUCUCACCUGUGUCCACAUCUGUAGAACUGCCAUAGAAAGAAACAGCUGAAUAAAGAAACAAGGUACAAAUACCUGAUAAGCAUAGUACAA